rnacentral:lncRNA from 1 species
CCAAGGAGAACCAAGUCUGUUGCAGAUGUUUAGGAGUCUUCAAUCAGGAGAAAAGGAAUACGAUCUGAUGACAUUCCCAAAUUCCUCCCACUCCUUAUUUUAUCCUUCUCUUGCCACAAACCCUAAUCUUAGAAAUCCUGCAGAGAAAUAACAAUGAAGACUUCUAGCAAGUUGUGAUAUUCUAUUUCUUAGUGAGAAAUUUUGCCCUGUACUUCUGCCUCUUAAUCGGAUAUUUUGGGAUCCAAAUGACUUCUCAAGAGAGAUCAUCCUUCGUAUCCUAAAACAAAUAGGGGUGUCAGUGGGAUAUCUGCUACUCAGAGUUGUAGAUAGUUUUUGAAACCUGAAGGUAACCUAUGAUACAGCCUCUGCAGAAACUCCAGAACCUUUCCUUUCCUAGACUCGUUUUGUGACCCAACGUAUGGUCUAUCCUUGAGGAAGAUUCAUGUGCUGAAGAAAAGAAUGUAUAUUCUGUAGCUUUUGGAAGAAAUGUUCUAAGCCAGGAUUAUGAUGAUUUCCUGCAUCACAUCUUUGUAGAAAUUCUGAGAAGGAUCCAGCCAAGCCCACUUCUGUUGGGUGAAGGUCACAGUCACAACUUCAAAGGCAACUAAGUUCGUAUUCCAACUUCCUGGGUGUCCUGGCAUCCUCCCCAUGCAUGUCCCAGUACCUGCAGGUCACAGAGUGAUAAAGGCUGUGGCAGAACUCCCUGGGCCUCCUACAGUGAAGAAGAAGGAGCAGCGAAGACUGACUGAGCAGUGGACAUGUGGGCAUGAAAGACCUGAGUAGAUUUAUUUAUUGAAAUAAAACCGUGCAGUUCAUCGAAUCAAAGUCCUGAACACAGAAAACAAGGCAGGAAGACAUCACAGAGCACAGUCAGGUAGGUUUACCCAAGCUUGUUCAUGGUCUUCUUAUAACUAUGAUUGCCAAUCAUAGUAUCCAUAAACUCCUAAGAGCACAGAUGCCACUGUGAAUAAGCUUUGUCUUCUAUGCUUUGUUUUCUCCCAUGUGGAUUUAUAGUCUUAAGUAGGAAUGUUCAGUUGGCCAAUCCUAGAUCUCAUGCUUAUCCUCUAACUUCCAGAUGUCAGAAAAUGAGCAUUUCUAGUCUCAAAUGACUUCUGUCACCU